GGAUACUCUAUCAUCGACCAGCAUGGUUACAUGCAAGUUCACAUUCACCCUUUUGUUUUAGACUUUGCUAGCUGUGUCGUUCAUUCGAUACUGUCUGGAGUCUGUAUUUCCUUGUUUUAGACUUUGCUAGCUGUGUCGUUCAUUCGACAAUGUCUGGAGUCUGAGUUUCGUUUUGUUAGAAUGAGCCAGGCGUAUCCUUCAUUCGAUACUCUCCUGGAGUCUAUGAUUUCUUUUGCCUUAGUCAGCAGUAUUUUCUGCUGAGGCAUAUGUUAUUUUCCCCUAGUAUUUUUACUAGUGAUAUUCUCCUACUUUCUUUAAAAUCAAAUACCGUAUUUUGGUAAUGAUAGUAUUUCAGGGAAAAUUACUCUUUAAAACAUAACUCUGUCGGGUCUUGGUAGAAGACUGCUUUUAUUUAGAAAAUAUAGGAUUUUCUGGAAAGGACGCUAAUACACCGUAGAUUCUAAAGUACUAUCUUUCAUAAAGUUAUUUUGAAUAAAAAUGCGUAUUUGUACAAAUGACACUAAAUACUUAUGAACUCACCAGCAUUAUAAAAAUGCGGAUACUCGCUUUCAAAAUAACUUGUAUUCUCAGGACAUCGAUUGACAGGUACAUCCCGGGAGCUUGUGUGAAGUCAGCCUAGAACCAAGCGGCAUCUAUACUAUGUUCUGUAUUUACUUUUGAUGUUUCUAUGUAAUGUAACUUAUGUAAAACUAUUACUAUUAAUGCAAUGGUUGUUGUACUUUGAUUACUAUACUGCAUAUAUUGUGAUACUUGACAUGACGUCAUCCACCCCAGAACGUUUCUGCCGUUCCGGUUUUGGGGUGUGACAGAUUGGUAUCAGAGCAUUGUUUAUACUGAGCUCAGUAUAUAACUUCAUAAAAGAUAUGCAGCCUAUAAAUACAUUGGGAUAAAACACUCUGACCAAGAAUUAUACUUUAAAAUAUAACCAUAUUUUACCAAAGUAUAAGAACAUCCAGAAUCUAAACACUCGAACAAAAGUAUCACAAGAAGAACAAGAAUAAAAGUCUUCGGAUGUUGAGCAUUACCGUCAAACCUGGGCAGUUAUGUAAUCGUAAGCUGGAAUAAAUGUAACCUGAUCAACUACAUUUAUUCGAGAUGCGAUGAACGUGUGCUUGGGAGUGAUAGUGGUGUUGCAACAUGUAUGAAACUUACCAAAUAGGAAUGCUAGAGCCAAACGUAAAGUUUAAAAAUACUAUGGGAGUAUUUUGGAACACUAAAAGACUCACAUUAAUCCCAGAAUCAUAUUCAGAAGUAAGAAUCAAACAAGUAAUUAAAAUACCAUAGGGGUAUUUUAGGAUCCAUAGAUAACCUUGUGUGAAGAACUAAAAAGAUCCUCAUUGAUAUACCUAUGAUUACAGAGGGUAUACUUCCAAGGUUAUAUAAGAUAAGGAUUCCAUAGACUAAGAAUGUGUGGUUUCGCUCUACUUCCUUUUCCUUGUUUGGAUGUGGAUAUAGAGUAGUAUCACAUAUUCGAAGGCCUAUCGAAUCUAAGCUAUAUAUAAUUUGUGUACCCUCUGUAAUUGUAGCAGGACUCGACGUGAAUCACUCGAUGAAAUGUUAAUAAUCUUUUAGGAUUCUUUAGACAUUUCCAUUCUCGCACGAACCCUGUAGAAAACCUUAUCCACUUCAGUGUUCGACAUAAGAGUUGAUUCAGACCCAGAAGAGGAUCAUUGAGAAGAUUUCCAGUUCGGAAAUGAAUGAACUAGGACGAGACUAUUGAAACCACCAAGUGCCUAUACCUUUUAGGGACACCGGUGGGAAAUCCACCUGAACUUCCGAGAUUUCCAGUCAUCCAUCAUGAAGCGAUGACACUCAGGGGCAGGAUCAGAAGUAAGAUAGCGCUGACAAUCAGAGUAAGAAUUAGAAGUAAGCCAGAGUAGAAGUUCAGUAAGUCUUCAUGAGAAGAGAACCCUAGGUAACUACCCGAAGAAAACCAACGCCGAUCCCAGACAAGGAUAAGAGGUAGAUAGAGGGAGCCAAUGCAUGGAACCUGAGAAGUGUCUCGUAUUUGCCACGCUAAUACACCCAUAAAAUAAUACCAUUUAGUAAGUUAGCGAUUACACUACUCACACUGUGUGUUAGGUAAAUUGCCUUUUUCCCGUCGCAUGUAAUACAAUUAGAUUGGAUUUCAAAAUCUCGGUUGAGAAUGUUAGGCAAAAGUCUUCAUGAGCCUUUCUUCCCACAGUCUUCGUUCCGAACUCCCCUCAAAUCUUUCCAAGUUGGAGAGUGAACUUUUCCAGCAUAAAGAUAACAUAGUAGGAACGACUCCCAUCUUAUGACUUUCCGAUACUCUUACUCCUACCUUGAAUACCCGGACUACAUCAUAGGGAUGUAGGUCGACACUCAGAUAACCAAUAUUCGAGGCGCGGGAAAAUUUAUGCCUAUUAUAGUAAGGAUAGAUACGUCCAGGGUUAACCAUCGUCUCUCAUCAGCUUGUGUUCCUUUCCGUGUAGGAAAAACAUGCCUCCGAAGAAAUGUAACCAAUUUGCUGGCAAGAAACCAACUCUCCUAUUCGAUGAAGCUACGUUCCAAGCUGCAGUCUCGGCAGCCGUAGCAGCUAUCAUGGCUCAACUGAAUGCUAACAAUGCCAAUGUUAGCAAGAGCCCCAUCUGGAAUCCCGAUCCUAGCAAUCGACAGCAGAAACCAACGCCUACGUGCCCAGCCACCGAAGAACCCCAACCAAAGCCACUGAAGAGAAAGCUCAAGAACGAGGAAUGAAGUACCUCGGCUCAAGGACCUUCCGAAGGGCAACGAGCUGAGACAGUCAAUAUCCCUGCCAACCCUUCCAACCCGACACCUAGAAGACCAUACCUAGGAAGCCUCCCCCGUUGCAGCAAGUGCAGCUACCAUCAUCAUGGUACCCGUCGAGAGCUCCUUUGUGUUAGGUGCAACAUGAAGGGACAUACCGCUCGUGUCUGCAGAACCCCGGUUGAGUUCAUUGCAUCGACCACCAAUGUUGGGACCAGUCCAAUAUGCCACCUAUGUGGUGAAAUUGGGCACUUCAAGCGGUACUGCCCAACUGAAAGAAAUGACAAGAGCGCAGGAGGAGUCUAACCCUAAUAACUAGGAGAAACAUCAAUGAACCCGGUAAAAUUUUGGUACGUCUCUCAAUCUCCGAUAACUAACUGAAAACAUUAAAAGGCUAAUUCUAAAAGUAAAUACUCUUCUGUUAAAGUGAAUGUCACAACACUGUUGUAAGAAUUUUCAUCAGGUAAAGCUAUAAUGGCUCGGUAUAUACGUUAAGGCCAUGUAUAAUUAAGAUGGAUAGACCUCGAGUGAGUGAAGCUGCCUCAUUUCCUGUUUCUCGUUUGGUUGUGGAUUUAGGGCGGAGUCGCUCAGUCAACAGUCCUUCCCACCUUAAUUAUACAUGACUAGUGUAUGUUAAGCAAUUAUAGAAAGACCUCGUGAGAAUCCAUCCAUGAAAAGUACAUUAUUCUGAAACCUCAGGACCCUCUAUAGUUCCGCGUUGACUCUAUCAGUCCAAGUAUCCGCAACAGUGAUACACGGGACAAAACCCGAGACGCCAAGAACUUGGGUACCAGUUCAGCACAUGGCCUUAUCGACCCUCAUUCUAUAUCAUGUCGAUGUAUGCCAACUUUGACGCCUCAAUCAAUCAUGGUUUGACUUAGUGCAUCCAUGUGUAAAUUCCUAGUGUUGUGUGAAAAGAACUUUCACCAUAGCCAUUUUGGCAGAUAAAGGUCCUUCCGAACUUAAUAAUAAAACCUAACGCAAUCCGUCAGUCGUCUCCCUUAUCUAAAACCUACCGAAAUACCCCUGAGUAGGGUAUCGCGCGUUGUUAACCAACCCUUCCUUAGACAAAUAGAACCCAAAGCGAAAGAAACUACAGGUAUUUCAGAAGACGUUAACCACCCGAAGCUUACUCCGUAGAUCCCCCAGAAAGACCCUUAGCACCUCUCCAUCAGGUUCGUGAAUCAAGAGGAAAGAACUCAGGGGACUGACUACUAUAACUAAGUAUAUGCAUAAUGGUGGUAUAUAAUUGAUAAAAAUAUUUAAGAUGCGUGCGUCCUCCCUACUCCCUGUUCCUCGUUGGGUUGUGGGUAUGGGGUGGAGUCGCACAACUGAACAUCCUGUUGACCUCAAUUAUAUAUGACUUGUAUACACCAAGUAUUAGUGGUUAAGCCAAGUGUGAGCUCUACCACGAACCUCAUAGUAAAACCCUUCAUCCUAUCCCAUAGAAUAGGAACUAGAUUCAAGAGAACCACGGGGGUUGAAUUACUAUAAUGAGCACAAUUCUGAAAUUUGUUGUCAUCCCAGUUAAGCCAACAUAGUAGCUAACACCUUUAGCUAGUAAAGAAAUCUGAGUCGUAAGAGUCAAGGACAUUGACUACGACCAUCCAUUCACGCUUAAUCCCACGAAUUAAGCAUCUCAGCGGAUAUCCCGAAAACCUGGAAGCUGCGAUAAGUUAAACUCUGAGAAGAGGGGAUGAGGAGAUUAGAAGUUCUGAGUGACGAAACCCUAUACUUCUAGACUUAACCAAAAUCAAGAAAACUCAUAACCACCGGAAGAGUAGUUGCAGAAGAUGCUCGCACUACUCAGGUACUUCGUCCACCCCGUUACUGACGAGUAGUUCCUAGGACACUCCACCUCCCCACGUGAAAGAAGUCACCGUUGCCCUGUAGACGAUAGACUGCAUUCUCCGAAGUGAAUCCUAGAAUGCCAAGAACCACAGGAGUACCCUCCGCAGCCAAGAAUACUUGAACAAAGCGCGAAAGUAGGUUGUGUUAAGCCUUAUAACCCAGAUCCCGAAGAGAUUAUAGACUUGACACCAGUUUAGGUGUUAGUCGAUGGGUUAUACAAGAGCACGUGCUUUCUACAACUGAAAUAAACCGACACCUUAGACAUUAGGGCAUGUCUUAGAGAUUCAUUGGGCUACUAGGUGUUCCAAGAAUACUAUCUCACACAGAAAUAGUAGAACCACCUCCCGAGAUAGUCCAACCCUUCAGAAAAUCUCUAAGGUCUGAGUUAGCCCUGAGCAGAGAUUGCUAUUCAUGAAACAGCAAAGCAAGUAAGAGAAUGAUUCUUUCCUAUUAGGAAUCAUAUUAUGAAAUCAUCAACUAGACAAUGAUGAGAAGUUAAAAAACCUUUCUAAACAAUCGUCUAGUCGAAACCCUAUCUCAUCGACCCUGAGAGUUUCCAUUAGAAACAUCUCAAGAAUCAGAAAUGCAGGUUCAUUUUUCAUAAGAUUGAGAUAGUCACCCUGCAGCAAAUAGAUACCCGUAGACAUCCAAUUCAUUCGAUGAUCCAGGAAACCUCUGAAGGCUAGUCAGCAGGAAACACGAAUCCAAGGAUAACUUGAGCCCUCUAAGAACCAACCCAAAGGACUACACCCACAGUAUGAAAGGACGUUGGAACUUCAGAAUGGCGGUCACGCCAGUGAUGAUCUCGCCAUAGAAGUACACUAUGUUCUAAGUGCUGAAAAGCUCUACCUUUCCGAGAGCUUAGAGACAUCUGAGGUUCUUUACAAAAAUAGGGUCAACCCUAGUCAGACCAUGACUACUUUCGGAAAUUCCAUAAGCUUCGCCCCAAAUCAAUCCACAUCUUAGACUUGAAAAGUGUUUGCCCAACGUAACUCUCUGAAAUCCACUCGUCUUGAUAGAAAUCAUUGGGGGCUCUAACUUCGUAUAGGAACCUGUAGGAAUCGCGAGCCGAGCAACCAAGUGAACGAAACGGAAUCCACAUCCCGUAAGUGAAGGUUGUUAGAACGUCAAGCAGAGGCCAGAGUUCACUUGGGAGCGCAAAGACCAACCGAAUAGGAAGUACCCUGAUAUGUGCAUAAUUAGUUAAUUAUUUAGUAUAUAUUUUUAUUCAUUUUUAACUAGUUAUGUGAAUAAUAUGGACAAAAGGUACUUAAUAUUGUUUAAAUUUUAUUUUCAGUCCAAAAGAUAUGCUUGGGAGUAAAAGGGAGCAAGGGAAAACAAUUAAAGACCAAAAAGUGAAGAUUGAGGAACAAAAUGAUACCUACUCGGCGAGUACACGCGACUACUCGGCGAGUCCAACUGAAUAUUCCAGAAGAUCACUACGUUUCCUGAUCUUAGACGGAUAACAACGCGACUACUCGGCGAGUUGGGUCUGGUACUCGCUGAGUACCCCCUGUUUUGAGAUAUCUAUAAAAAUCGAACCUUUAUCCGAGGAGAACAGACCUUUGGCGAUUUUUGAAGAUCCUUCUGCGAUUAAGAGCACCAGAAGACGUUGAGGAACCCUAAUUUUCAACCUUUUGAAGAAUUGAAGCAACUAGGUUAAUCAUUCCACUUAAGCUUAGGAUUUGAUGAUGUCUAAUCUAGUUGAAUUUGUUUCUAUGUUUAUUUUUACUGCAACUAUGAACUAAUUUCGUUUUUGUUUCUGUUUGGGGAAUACCAAGGAACUCCUAUGGUUUAAAUCCUUAACUUUGAUUAAUUGUUUAUUGGUGAUUCAUUAAAUUAAGUUUGUUAAAGAACCUUAUGCAUUAAUCAUUACUAUUUUCUGUUAAUUGGAAGACAAUUAGGCUGCAUGAACAUCUCUUAGUUGUUAACCUCAUAUGUCUAUGUGAAUACUAAACCAUAUGCUUAGAAGUAAUGAUUAUGAAACUAAGAUUAAUAAGACAAUAGGAAGAUUAAUGUGUGAGCUUGCUUGAGAANAAUUAAUUCCAUAAAUUAAUCCAAAUCAUUAAUCUAGGGAAUUAAUUAGUUUAAACACUUGAUAACCGCUUAAAUUAGUUAAUUGUCUAAGGGUUAGGAGUAAUGAACAUGAACCUAACCAUUUUAAUUGGUAACCAAUAGCAAUUAAUCUAUCAUAAAUACAAAUAACCAUAGGAGUGAAUUGGUUGAACCUAAAUAGAAACAUCUUUAUCAAACUUGGUGAAUAGUUGUUGCUUUAGUUAUUUAGUUAAUUUAGUGUGCCUAAGUUUCUAGUCUUGCAAAACUAGAAGAAAACCCUUUUACUUUUAUUAGUUGUUUAGUUAAAAUUAGUUAUUAGUUUAAUUUUCCGUUCCCUGAGUUCGACACCUUACUUACUAAUCUAUACCACUAAAAGACAGGUUCACUGCCUUUGUGUGUUUAAUUUAUUAAUUAAAGUAGGGAUGAAACAAGUGCAUUUUACACACAUCAUACCCUCAUCUCUCUACUCGAUUGUUCAUGCCUACCUCUCUGCCUAAACCAUAAUUUCGGGACAAAAUUCCCUCUAACGGGGGAUGAUUUGACAACCCGAAAUUUAUUCCAUCACGGUAAACCCUUAUUCCGCUAAUAAAACUCGCUUUAUUAAAUUGUUCCGUUAACCUUUUGGAUUAGGUUAAUUAAAUUGGGAAUUUUAUUAUGACUUCAUGAGUGCCCAAGCGAUUUAGAAACACGUGAAACACCCUCAAUAUCCCCUUGAAAAAUUUUAGUUUUAGUUACAAUCAAGUCAAGUUACGACUAUUUAAUCGGGUACGACCAAAAGCCCCGUUCAACGUCAGUAUCAGGUAGAUUUACAUCGAGCCAUAAACUCAAACCCCUAUAUAAGGGUGAGUGGACCUCCAUUUGAAACUUUUCCACCCACAUAACACCCUCUCUCUACAAAGCCGAUUUUGAUCCAAAAACGCCUAUUUCGAGCUCCAUAAUCGAAAGUAAUCUAUCCUACCUUGUUGUUUAGGUCAUUUAACAUGAAAAUUCAUGUUUAAAUCAUCCAAUAGCCUCAAAGUCAUGUGUUUACAGCCCAAGAACACUCUUGGACCGCAAACACCCAUAAGUGGAGUUUUAAAGCCCUAAAACCCUUCCAAAUCACUCCUAGGGCUUAGAUAUGACUUGUGGACUUACAUAUAUGAGCUUAGAACACCAAAACCUUAUCAUAUGGAGAGUAAACAUGAGUUUACGACCCAAGAACACUCUUGGACGGUAAACCCCUCUUCAUAGGCCGUGAACACCUUUUAAGGUGUUAAAGUUGCCCUUAAACACCACCUACGGCUUGGGUAAAUGUCUAGAAUCAACCACUAUUGAAGUAGGGGAAUUAAACAUCAAAGAAACUAUGGACUUAGGAGUUUACGGCUGUAAACCCCCCAAGGAUUGGUCCAUGGGCUGUAAACUCCCUUAAAGAGGUCAAAUGAUGCCCUAACUUCCCCAUAUGGCUUGGAAUAAUGCAUAAAACCUUGUAUUCUUUCAUUUAAUACCUUAAACCAUGAAAUGAAGGACCAAGUGAGAGUUUACGGCCAUAAACUCUAUGUUUACAGCCGUGAACUCCCUUAAAUGCUUCAUUUGGAGCCUUAACCCCUUCCUAUGCCCUAGAAUUGAACCUAGCCUAAUCCCACAAGUGAUAUAAGACCUUUGAGCAUCCAAGAACACACCACCCAUGAGUUUACAACCGUAAACUCAUGGGGAUAUGGUCUUAGGGCCGAAAUCACCAUAAAGAGUUUACUCUAGAAGAGUAAACUCCCUAACUAGGCCAUACACCCCCUUAUUGCAACCCAAUAGCCUCCUAGCACUUGACCAAAGUGUUUUUCCGCACAUUAGGAUGCUUAUACUUGUUUUAUUAGUGUUAUAAUCACUAAUUAUAUGUACACAUAUGUCUUCAUAUGUUAUUAGGUCAUUAAGUGUGUUCAAGUCUUUACUUGACACCGGGCACCCAACCGGCACCUCCGUCCGAUCCACUUACAGCAGGUGAGUUCAUACCCCUGAAUUAACCUUUCAAAUGAUUUUAACUGCUUUUAUAGGGGGAAUACAAGUUGAACUAUACAGUUAUUAGAUUAAUCACAUGUGAUUAAUAACUAUAUAGCAAAUGGAUUUUUACAUGUUAAACCGCUUCAGCUAAUAACAUGUUUUUUUUUUCCAAAUCUCGCUUUCAAAUCUUGUUAAAGUAUGAAUUUCUCUUUUAGAUUAUCAUAAGUAUUCGAAAGGUUUUCCGAAGGUUUUUCAAAGGUUUUCCAAAGGUUUUCUUCACUUAAACUAUUUUAUCGAAUCAUUUUCAAAAGUUUGUUUAUUAAACUGAUACUGAGUCAUAAAUUAUUGUUUAUAAAGUUUUCUAAAAGUUUCACCCAAGUUUCUGUUAUGCUUUUAUUUUGAUAAAUGUAUGCCCGUACAUGUAUAGUUAUAUAAGUAAUGUUUAAAGGACUUAGGAAGGCUAAUUUACUUUGAUUCCUUUUCCUUGUUUGGAUGUGGCUUCGGGGUAUCGGUUAUCCGUCCGACGGUCGUUUAAACACUUGUUGUAUAUCAUGUAUUCAUGGAUGGACAUAAAAGCUCUCUCUCUCUCUCUCUCUCUCUCUCUUUCUCUCUCCUACUAUCAGCCAAUUUAUCACCUUGAGUAGUACAGGCAACUUUCUAUUAUUCAUGUUUAUGGAACCCUAGUAACUAUUAUAGGAAUAGUUAGGAGACUCUAUAUCUCUCUCUAUCUCUCUCUCUCUCUAUCUGUCCCUCUAUCUCUCUCUAUCUCUCUAUUUGAAUUUAGAAUGUGACACACUAUUUCCCUCUACGACGUUGCAUUACACCAACACCGUGUAACCAUAAUCUCCGGGAAGGAGGGCGAACAUCAUGUGUAUAGAUCUAUACGGGACUGACACUCCCACACCCAGACUACUAGCUACAGUCCACGCCGGUAAGGCCCAUGGGUGACAUAAUGCCACUACCUCUACGCGUGACCUGGAAGGUAAUCCGAUACUUUAUUGUCGACCAACAUGGUUACAUACAAGUUCACAUUCACCCUUUUGUUUUAGACUUUGCUAGCUGUCUCAUUCAUUUGAUACUGUCUGGAGUCUGUAUUUCAUUGUUUUAGACUUUGCUAGUUGUGUCGUUCAUUUGACAAUGUCUGGAGUCUAUGUUUCCUUUUGUUAGACUGAGCCAGGUGUAUCAUUCAUUCGAUACUCUUCUAGAGUCUAUGAUUUCUUUUGCCUUAGUCAGUAGUAUUACUGCUGAGGCAUAUGUUAUUUUUCCCCUAGUAUUUUUUUUACUAGUGAUAUUCUCAUAUUUUCUUUAAAGUCAAUACCGUAUUUUGGUAAUAAUAGUAUUUUGGGAAAAUUACUCCUUAAAACAUAAGUCUACCGGAUCUUGGUAGAACACUGCUUUUAUUUAGAAAAUAUAGGAUUUUCUGGAAACGACGCUA
rnacentral:lncRNA from 1 species